GUGAAUCAUCAAAUCUUUGAACGCAAAUUGCACUCUCUGGUAUUCCGGAGAGUAUGCCUGUUUGAUGGUCAGUUUAAAUAAAAAUCUGUGUGUUUGCUGCCUUUCGUGGUGACGCACCGGAUUUGGUUCGUCUUGCCUUCGGUUAAGUGACCUAAAAUUUUGCAUUUUGUUUUUCGAACGUAUGUAAAUGAUUUUACUUACGUUUGCGAUAUCCUAUUUUAUUUUU
rnacentral:misc_RNA from 1 species